rnacentral:rRNA from 1 species
AGAGUUUGAUCCUGGCUCAGGAUGAACGCUAGCGAUAGGCUUAACACAUGCAAGUCGAGGGGCAGCAUGGUCUUAGCUUGCUAAGACUGAUGGCGACCGGCGCACGGGUGCGUAACGCGUAUGCAACUUGCCUCACAGAGGGGGAUAACCCGUCGAAAGACGGACUAAUACCGCGUACACUCCAGCUUGGGCAUCCAAGCUAGAGGAAAUGAAAUUCGCUGUGAGAUAGGCAUGCGUCCCAUUAGCUAGUUGGUGAGGUAACGGCUCACCAAGGCGACGAUGGGUAGGGGAACUGAGAGGUUGAACCCCCACACUGGUACUGAGACACGGACCAGACUCCUACGGGAGGCAGCAGUGAGGAAUAUUGGUCAAUGGGCGAGAGCCUGAACCAGCCAAGUCGCGUGAAGGAUGACUGUCUUAUGGAUUGUAAACUUCUUUUAUACGGGAAUAACAAGAGUCACGUGUGGCUCCCUGCAUGUACCGUAUGAAUAAGCAUCGGCUAACUCCGUGCCAGCAGCCGCGGUAAUACGGAGGAUGCGAGCGUUAUCCGGAUUUAUUGGGUUUAAAGGGUGCGUAGGCGGCCUGUUAAGUCAGCGGUGAAAUCUAGGAGCUUAACUCCUAAAUUGCCAUUGAUACUGGCGGGCUUGAGUGUAGAUGAGGUAGGCGGAAUGCGUGGUGUAGCGGUGGAAUGCAUAGAUAUCACGCAGAACUCCGAUUGCGAAGGCAGCUUACUAAGGUACAACUGACGCUGAAGCACGAAAGCGUGGGUAUCAAACAGGAUUAGAUACCCUGGUAGUCCACGCAGUAAACGAUGAUAACUGGGCGUAUGCGAUAUACAGUAUGCUCCUAAGCGAAAGCGUUAAGUUAUCCACCUGGGGAGUACGCCGGCAACGGUGAAACUCAAAGGAAUUGACGGGGGCCCGCACAAGCGGAGGAACAUGUGGUUUAAUUCGAUGAUACGCGAGGAACCUUACCCGGGAUUGAAAUGUAGA